rnacentral:rRNA from 1 species
AGUGAACGCUGGCGGCAGGCCUAAUACAUGCAAGUCGAACGGCAGCACGGCAGAGCUUGCUCUGUGGGUGGCGAGUGGCGGACGGGUGAGGAAUACAUGGGAAUCUGCCCAGUCGUGGGGGAUAACGUAGGGAAACUUACGCUAAUACCGCAUGCGCCCUUCGGGGAAAGCCGGGGACCUUCGGGCCUGGCGCGAUUGGAUGAGCCCAUGUCGGAUUAGCUAGUUGGCGGGUAAAGGCCCACCAAGGCGACGAUCCGUAGCUGGUCUGAGAGGAUGAUCAGCCACACUGGAACUGAGACACGGUCCAGACUCCUACGGGAGGCAGCAGUAGGGAAUAUUGGACAAUGGGCGCAAGCCUGAUCCAGCCAUGCCGCGUGAGUGAAGAAGGCCCUCGGGUUGUAAAGCUCUUUUGUACCGGUAAGAAAACGCGCCGGGUUAAAUACCCCUUGGGUUGUCCCUUGACGGGUUACCCGGAAGGUAAUAAAGCACCGGGCCUAAACGUUCCGUGCCCAGCCAGCCC